rnacentral:lncRNA from 1 species
GGUCGGCCUAUUCCAGGGCUUCUAGAGAAAAAUAAUGAGGGGUGUCACGGGGAAUGACUAUAUAGGUCUUGUAGAGGAGAAACAGGCGCUUCUUUUGCGCUAGGUAUCGAAGGGCGCUAUGUUCAAAAAUCUGAAACUAGAGCUCAAAAUUUGAAAAAAAUGUCAAAAAAUUAGGGGGGUCGGCCUAUUCUAGGACUUCUAGAGAAAAAUAAUGAGGGGUGUCACGGGGUAUGACUAUAUAUGUCUUGUAGAGGAGAAACAGGCGCUUCUUUUGCACUAAGUAUCGAAGGGCGCUAUGUUCAAAAAUCUGAAACUAGAGCUCAAAGUUCGAAAAAAAUGUCCAAAAAAUGGGGGUAGGGUCGGCCUAUUCCAGGAGUUCUAGAGAAAAAUAAUGAGGGGUGUCACGGGGUAUGACUAUAUAGGUCUUGUAGAAGAGGAACAGGCGUUUCUUUUGCGCUAGGUAUCGAAGGGCGCUAUGUUCAAAAAUCUGAAACUAGAGCUCAAAAUUUAAAAAAAAUGUCAAAAAAUUAGGGGGGUCGGCCUAUUCCAGGGCUUCUAGAGAAAAAUAAUGAGGGGUGUCACGGAGAAUGACUAUAUAGGUCUUGUAGAGGAGAAACAGGCGCUUCUUUUGCACUAUGUAUCGAAGGGCGCUAUGUUCAAAAAUCUGAAACUAGAGCUCAAAAUUCGAAAAAAAAUGUCCAAAAAAUGGGGGUAGGGUCGGCCUAUUCCAGGAGUUCUAGAGAAAAAUAAUGAGAGGUGUCACGGGGUAUGACUAUAUAGGUCUUGUAGAAGAGAAACAGGCGCUUCUUUUGCGCUAGGUAUCGAAGGGCGCUAUGUUCAAAAAUCUGAACUAGAGCUCAAAAUUCGAAAAAAAUAUCCAAAAAAUGGGGGUAGGGUUGGCCUAUUCCAGGAGUUCUAGAGAAAAAUAAAAAGGGGUGUCACGGGGUAUGACUAUAUAGGUCUUGUAGAAGAGAAACAGGCGCUUCUUUUGCGCUAGGUAUCGAAGGGCGCUAUGUUCAAAUAUCUGAAACUAGAGCUCAAAAUUCGAAAAAAAUGUCAAAAAAUUAGGGGGGUCGGCCUAUUCCAGGAGUUCUAGAGAAAAAUAAUGAGGGGUGUCACGGAGAAUGACUAUAUAGGUCUUGUAGAAGAGACACAGGCGCUUCUUUUGCGCUAGGUAUCGAAGGGCGCUAUGUUCAAAAAUCUGAAACUAGAGCUCAAAAUUCGAAAAAAAUGUCCAAAAAAUGGGGGUGGGGUCGGCCUAUUCCAGGAGUUCUAGAGAAAAAUAAUGAGGGGUGUCACGGGGUAUGACUAUAUAGGUCUUGUAGAGGAGAAACAGGCGCUUCUUUAGCGCUAGGUAUCGAAGGGCGCUAUGUUCAAAAAUCUGAAACUAGAGCUCAAGAUUCGAAAAAAAUGUCAAAAAAUUUGGGGGGUCGGCCUAUUCCAGGGCUUCUAGAGAAAAAUAAUGAGGGGUGUCACGGAGAAUGACUAUAUAUGUCUUAUAGAAGAGAAACAGGCGCUUCUUUUGCGCUAGGUAUCGAAGGGCGCUAUGUUCAAAAAUCUGAAACUAGAGCUCAAAAUUUGAAAAAAUGUCAAAAAAUUAGGGGGGUCGGCCUAUUCUAGGGCUUCUAGAGAAAAAUAAUGAGGGGUGUCACGGGGAAUGACUAUAUAGGUCUUGUAGAGGAGAAACAGGCGCUUCUUUUGCGCUAGGUAUCGAAGGGCGCUAUGUUCAAAAAUCUGAAACUAGAGCUCAAAAUUUGAAAAAAAUGUCAAAAAAUUUUGGGGGUCGGCCUAUUCUAAGACUUCUAGAGAAAAAUAAUGAGGGGUAUCACGGGGUAUGACCAUAUAGGUCUUGUAGAAAAGAAACAGGCGCUUCUUUUGCACUAGGUAUCGAAGGGCGCUAUGUUCAAAAAUCUGAAACUAGAGCUCAAGAUUCGAAAAAAAUAUCAAAAAAAUGGGGUAGGGUCGGCCUAUUCCAGGAGUUCUAGAGAAAAAUAAUGAGGGGUGUCACGGGGUAUGACUAUAUAGGUCUUGUAGAAGAGAAACAGGCGCUUCUUUUGCGCUAGGUAUCCAAGGGCGCUAUGUUCAAAAAUCUGAAACUAGAGCUCAAAAAUCGAAAAAAAUGUCAAAAAAUUAGGGGGUCGGCCUAUUCCAGGGCUUCUAGAGAAAAAUAAUGAGGGGUGUCACGGAGAAUGACUAUAUAGGUCUUGUAGAAGAGAAACAGGCGCUUCUUUUGCGCUGGGUAUCGAAGGGCGCCAUGUUCAAAAAUCUGAAACUAGAACUCAAAAUUUGAAAAAAAUGUCAAAAAAUUAGGGGGUCGGCCUAUUCUAGGACUUCUAGAGAAAAAUAAUGAGGGGUGUCACGAGGAAUGACUAUAUAGGUCUUGUAGAGGAGAAACAGGCGCUUCUUUUGCGCUAGGUAUCGAAGGGCGCUAUGUUCAAAAAUCUGAAACUAGAGCUCAAAAUUUGAAAAAAAUGUCAAAAAAUUAGGGGGGUCGGCCUAUUCUAGGACUUCUAGAGAAAAAUAAUGAGGGGUGUCACGGAGAAUGACUAUAUAGGUCUUGUAGAAGAGAAACAGGCGCUUCUUUUGCACUAGGUAUCGAAGGGCGCUAUGUUCAAAAAUCUGAAACUAGAGCUCAAAAUUUGAAAAAAAUGUCAAAAAAAUAGGGGGUCGGCCUAUUCUAGGACUUCUAGAGAAAAAUAAUGAGGGGUGUCACGGGGAAUGACUAUAUAGGUCUUGUAGAGGAGAAACAGGCGCUUCUUUUGCGCUAGGUAUCGAAGGGCGCUAUGUUCAAAAAUCUGAAACUAGAGCUCAAAAUUUGAAAAAAAUGUCAAAAAUUAGGGGGGUCGGCCUAUUCUAGGACUUCUAGAGAAAAAUAAUGAGGGGUGUCACGGGAAUGACUAUAUAGGUCUUGUAGAAGAGAAACAGGCGCUUCUUUUGCACUAGGUAUCGAAGGGCGCUUUGUUCAAAAAUCUGAAACUAGAGCUCAAAAUUUGAAAAAAAUGUCAAAAAAAUAGGGGGUCGGCCUAUUCUAGGACUUCUAGAGAAAAAUAAUGAGGGGUGUCACGGGGAAUGACUAUAUAGGUCUUGUAGAGGAGAAACAGGCGCUUCUUUUGCGCUAGGUAUCGAAGGGCG